rnacentral:tRNA from 1 species
GCCUCCUUAGCUCAAUUGGCAGAGCACAUGUUUUGUAAACAUGAGGUUGUUGGAUCGUUGCCAACAGGAGGCU